UGUGCUUGAUAAGGUUCAAGGUUUCAUAAUGCUGGAGGACGGUAUGAUAGAAUGCAGUAACUGUCAUUCCAAAUUGCCAGCUCCAGGUGGUAAAGGUAUAUCUAGGGCAUAUGACAAAAACAGGAAUAAAACACCACCAAAACAUCGUGCUCUCAAAGUUCUUCUGGUUGCUGGCGAUUGUAUCUUGGUUGGCCUUCAGCCUAUUCUAGUCUACAUGUCUAAGGUGGAUGGGAGCUUUAAGUUUAGUCCUAUCAGUGUUAAUUUUUUGACUGAGGCUGCAAAGGUUCUCUUUGCCAUCAUCAUGCUGUUAUCCCAGGCUAAAAAACAAAAUAAAGGAGACAAACCCCUACUCUCGAUAUCCACAUUCGUGCAGGCAUUUCGCAAUAAUGUUCUUCUUUCUAUUCCUGCUCUUCUUUAUGCAAUCAACAACUAUCUGAAAUUUAUAAUGCAGUUGUAUUUUAACCCUGCAACUGUUAAAAUGUUGAGCAACCUGAAGGUUUUGGUAAUUGCUGUCCUUCUAAAGAUCAUUAUGAGAAGGCGCUUUUCCAUAAUCCAGUGGGAGGCUCUUGCACUUUUGCUAAUUGGAAUCAGUGUUAAUCAGUUAAAGUCACUGCCUGAGGAUACCAAUGCACUUGGUCUUCCUGUUGCAAUGGGUGCAUACUUGUAUACACUGAUGUUUGUUACUGUUCCUUCUCUGGCUUCGGUCUUCAAUGAGUAUGCUUUAAAAAGCCAGUUUGGCACAAGCAUAUAUCUUCAGAACUUAUUUUUAUAUGGCUAUGGGGCUAUAUUUAACUUCAUUGCAAUUGUUGGAACUGCUGUCCUGAAAGGGCCAAAUAGCUUUGAUAUCCUUCAAGGGCACUCAAAAUCUACGAUGUUUUUAAUAUGCAACAAUGCUGCACAAGGAAUCCUCUCCUCAUUCUUUUUCAAAUAUGCUGAUACGAUUUUGAAGAAGUAUUCCUCUACCGUUGCCACAAUUUUUACAGGCAUUGCAUCUGCUGCUCUGUUUGGUCACACUCUGACAAUAAAUUUUAUCUUGGGCAUUUCAAUAGUCUUUAUAUCAAUGCACCAGUUCUUUUCCCCACUUGCAAAAGCGGAAGAUGAGAUGCCUGAUAAGAGAAUAGAGAUGAUGGAUGCUCAAGAUGUCAGGUUUAUAUCUAUUCCUUGUUUCAUUCUCCUAAAGACUAUAUUUUCCUUUUGUUAUCCUCGUUUAACCUAUAUUUUUGUCUGAGAGAGUAAAAAACUCUACCACUGUGAACUACUGCAUGGUAUAGAUUUUGUUUUUUUUGUCAGCACAAACCAGCAUAUGCUGAGACAUCUGUACUGGUUCUGGCCUUCUUUUUUUUUUUGUUCUUAUGGCCAGGUCAAAUUUUGACAAUAUCUACCAACACUGGAGGCAUGAUACUGUAUCAAUCUAACAGUAUACCAAAACCCUCCAAAUUAUCUAUAUGAAAGACCUUGCUCUUGAUUAUUUUCUUUAAAGUUAUUAUCCUUUUUUAGAUGAAUAAUUUUGCAUAUGCUAGAAGAAACUACAACAAUCCAUAGACUGGGUUGUGAACUCAAUGCACAUGCCAUGACAGUAAAGUUAGAAUUUCUUUUCACGCGCAAGCAUGCUUGUGUCUCUGCAUAUUUCCACUUUGAUGUCCGUUUAACUUGUGAAACAACAAUUGAAUGUCGCUUCAGUUGAAUGAAGUAACAAUUGAAUAUUAAUCUAAAUUGUCCAUUUCACUUAUGAAAUUCAUGUCCAUAUCUUUACAUGCUCAUCAUCUUGUAUAAUCCUUGUUAGAUGUUAUCAGUGAUACUUUGCCCUGAAUCUAGCAUGUGUUCCAAAUCAUCUUGUAUAUAUUUGCAGAUUAAAGGAAGCUUCGUAUGUAAAUAUAACUCCUGGGGCAACUAAAGAUGCUAGCCAUCCUGUUGGACCCGACGAGAGACAGAUGCUUCUACGUGUCUAAUAUUACUUUCAAGGAGAAGUUGGGUUAUUAAGCAGCAUCAGCAGGAUCUUCGAUGAAAGUUCUGUUGGCGGAGAUUAUGUACCGAUGAGCUAUUUCUAAUCAUAAUAAUUAAGCUUCGGCUCGAAGACAGGAUACAUAGAUCCAGCUAUUUGUUGGUACCAAGUCUCGAGCAAUUUCAUCCCGUCAAAACCUGUCAAAUUCAAUGAAAAAUUGGAGGGUGUACUAUUUUAUAUAUUUUUAUAUGGGUAAAGUUUUCAAAAAUAUCUUAACUUUUUA